rnacentral:rRNA from 1 species
GACGAACGCUGGCGGCGUGCUUAACACAUGCAAGUCGAACGGAAAGGCCCUGCUUUUGUGGGGUGCUCGAGUGGCGAACGGGUGAGUAACACGUGAGUAACCUGCCCUUGACUUUGGGAUAACUUCAGGAAACUGGGGCUAAUACCGGAUAGGAGCUCCUGCUGCAUGGUGGGGGUUGGAAAGUUUCGGCGGUUGGGGAUGGACUCGCGGCUUAUCAGCUUGUUGGUGGGGUAGUGGCUACCAAGGCUUUGACGGGUAGCCGGCCUGAGAGGGUGACCGGCCACAUUGGGACUGAGAUACGGCCCAGACUCCUACGGGAGGCAGCAGUGGGGAAUAUUGCACAAUGGGCGGAAGCCUGAUGCAGCAACGCCGCGUGCGGGAUGACGGCCUUCGGGUUGUAAAACGCUUUCGCCUGUGACGAAGCGUGAGUGACGGUAAUGGGUAAAGAAGCACCGGCUAACUACGUG